AGUUGCUGCACUCUCCUCUGAGCCUCUGAAGCUCCCUUUUUGUCCCAGCUGACCUCCCAGCAGGGGAAGGGUGUUCCCAGGGUGAGGGAAUGUUUCCACUUUCACAGCUCCCUCCCAGGGGUGCAGGUCUCCUUCUGAUUCCUUUUUUUUUUCUUUUGCUCUACCUGGUUAUGUGGUGAUCCUUCUUGCAGCUUUGGUUGUAUGAGUUCUGCCAGCAUCCAGUAUUCUGCAAGAAUUGUUCCACAUGUAGAUAUAUUUUUGAUGCAUUUAUGGAAGGAGCUCGUGGGAUCUUAGUCACCCCGACCUGGUAUUGAACGUCAGUGAAAGCGCAGAGUCCUAACCACUGGAUCUCCAGGUGCUGGAAUUAUAGUGCAUUGCUGGACCCACAGUCAUCUGGAGCAGGGGGUCGGAGCAACCACAGAGAACAAGUUUUGUGCUUUGUCUUUUUAUUAUUCUUUAUUUACUGGUCCUACCAACGUGACCCUUUACCCAGGCCCACUGUUCCUAUGUGCACUGGCUUUACAGACAUUUGCACCAUAUGUCUGUGUCCCAAGUUGUGACUGAUUUCUCCUUCCUAUUCCUUUUCCAUGCAGUGCCUCAUUUUCUCAGAAUCUGAAGGCAUUUUUGUUUGUUUGGGUCUGUGUAAAGGUUCCUUGGCAGGAGAACAUGCAUAUGAUCUUAAAAUAAAGACAUUCUGACACUAAGGUAAUGCACAGAAAAAAUACAGUACACAGACUUCAUUGCAAAUAAAUACCCCGUACAGAUGAAGUUUUUGUAAAUGUAACAUUAUUUCUUAUGAAUCAACACUGUAAGAGAAGGUAAAAAUAGGGGUCCCUACAACUAGGAAUAAAAAUGCUUAUUCCAGGAAACAGAAUUCUUCUAUUCUUGCUACUUAUAUUAUUAUAAUUUGUCCUGUAUUUUGGAGGAGAGAGGACACUUUUUCUUCCUCCUCCUUGAGUACCAAUUUGACCACUUGCACAACCUCACUCAGCAAAUCAGGACAGGACAUAGAUCUGGUUUGCUAAGGAGCUUUAGUGACUUCUGUUUCCUGAAAUUAACAGUGAUUAGUUACACCAAGCAAGAGAAUAUAUAAUGUCUCUCUCUCACAUUUGCAAAGAAUACUAUGGCUAGCCCUCACCCCAAUGCACGAGGCCGACGGUGCCGGCUCCCCUGCCACCCGCCCCACUCUUCACAAACGUGGCGUGUUGUUCACAUAGCUUGCUUAGCUUGUCCCAUAAAGUCCAUUUGGUUCCCAAAGCACACUCAAGGUUUGUGUUCACUUUCGUUUUCUCAGCCCCUGAAUUUGCAAGGAUCUGCACAGUAAAGAAUCACUGACUAACAGAAUUUUGCACAAUUGCUGUUUUCUUUCCCUCAAUGAAGAUGCCCAGGGUCAGGUUAGAAGGUGUGCACCUGUUCACACUGAUUGGUCCACACUGGCCUUCAACAUUCCCAACUAGCUCUUCACUGUCCAUUUUAGAGAAUAAACUACGCUGGAACACCUCCCUAAACUGAUGAAGGCACUACUGGCAAUGAUUACUAACAAAAAGGCGUUGAAAUAUAACACCCUAAAAAUCGACGACUGUAGAAUUUUCUAAGUGUACCACAAUUUGGCACAACAACCGGAGUAACAAAACAAUUCCAAUUUGGAAUUUCACUGGUACAGUUGUAUAAAAUUCUGUUAAUCAGUCAUGCUUCACAAUGUCCUAAAACCCAGAAAAUUCUGGAAUUUGUAGGUAAUACUACUCAUUCAAUAAUUUAUCUUUUUGUUUUCAAGUGCCUUUUACUGUUUAACCAGAGCAAAGGUCAAGUUUUCUUCUUGUUACAUUGAACUAUUCCUAAGAAUAAUAAUAAUACAAUAUGAAAAACCCCAGAAUCCGAAUACCCUGGAUUUCUUAAUGAACAAUGGCAUUUAAAAUCUGUAAUUUCAAACACGAACCACAAUGCCGUAUAAUUAAAAGGCUGCUGAACCACAGCAUGGAUACAUUUAGCCGGGCUCCUUACCAAGUUGAAGCCUUCACCUAAACAGUCUAGAGCUACACGCUAGGAGGACACACCUGUGCCAUGUGCUGAUAACAGAUCAACACACCGUUGGGAGCUACAGGACCACGAGACAGACUACGGCAUCUGAGACCAUCUCUACGCCAGGGAUGAAGGAAGCAAAUAUAAUAUCAAAAUAUCAAAAGUGCACAGGUGGAUUGGGUAAAAAAGGAGUAUCUGUAAUAGGGAGACCCCAGUGGUGAGUGUUUCUAGAGGGUUCCUAAGCAAGCCUGGUGGUCGCUGUCCAAGCAGGUUCUUCAGCGCCUGUACAAAGGCCUUUCCAAGCAGCAGCUGCCGGCAUUCUCAACAUUAAAGCUUUUAUUUCCUCUGCCAUUAAAAACUUGGGGAAUGCUAUUUUGAAAAGAAUUGCAGUAGCAUAUCCAAAAACGUUUCUAAGUGGACUUUUAGGCUGCCCUUCCUUCCUCUGCGUGGGCCCAUGGGAGAGGAGGGGAGGGGGCUGCAGUGUGACAGGGCCGGCGGCCGAGUCCUCCCAGCAGCUACUCUACAGCUGAAAAUGGGAGAAAACAAGACAACGUUAGAACCGGUCACCCGUCAGACAACUAAAGCUCUCACUGAGCUGUGAGGGCAUGGGUGUGUUAGUUGGCAGCAGAGAAGACCUGCAUAUGUUAGGGGGCGCCGCUGGCCCCGAGUACCUCAUGAAGACCCUUUACUUUACAAGUAUGGAGAGAAGCUGUGUGCCAGGCUUGGCAAGGAGGCAGAAGCAGUAUGCGGCACCAGCAGGCAGCCACGCCCCUGGAAGUCCUGCUUGCAGAGGGGAGAUGGCCUGACAUCUUCUCAAGUGGGAGGGGAAUCCAAGAUCUGACAUCCCAUCUGCAAAACAGCCUGGAGCUGGGUAUAGGCACACAGAAGGGACAGGUAUGGUCCAUCCUGUGUAUCUUCACUCCGCAGUUUGCCAAAUCCAAGUUGGUCUGGGUAGCACCUGGCAUCUGGUGGGAAUUGAGACAUGCUUGGGAAUUAAGGGAAAGAGUGGAAUGAGGGCAGAUACCAGUGUGCAGGGACAAUGAAAAUUCCCCCUCUGGGCCCCAGAGAGAGGAGGCAAAGAGCUAUUCAGGAAGACUGCACCUUCAUGACUGGUGGGCCCAAGGAUGACAUGGAGAGAAACACUGAGAGAAGUUCGGCUGCCAAAGCUCUUGGUGUGGGUGCAGCUUCUGAGCAUGGGGGAGUACUAUGGCUGCCUUUCCUGCCUGUCACCACCUCUGGAAUUGCACUGAUGAUCAAGAACCAUAUUCCUCCUACUGUGAAUCCUGAAACUAGCCCUGGGUCCAUUCAAGGUUCCCUUCCUACACCAGGCUGGGCUUCAGUUAAUAGGUGUGGAACCCAGUCCCUCAUUUCAGUCUGGCCCGCUGGUAACUCAAGCUCAGGUUGGGGGUUUCCACAGCCCUGUUUCUUGUAGUCUGAAGCCCCCUGAGAGGAAGGCCUGAUAAUGGGCAGAGAGUGAAAAAAUCCAACUGGAAGCUGGGGACACUCUAAGUACAAAAGGAUGGGCUUCCUGUGAGGACAGAGGUCUGGCCAGGCACUUGGGAAGUUUUUCUCAUUAGAAAAAACCCAAGCCUUUGGCCUGCCGAUUUGUCACCUUGCAGGCCACCGGACAAGCGUACAAAUCUCAGAAAGAGAAGCUGAGGCUGCUGAGCUCUGGUCUGGGGUGUGGUUAGGUACGCCUGGGCUGGAGGACAUGGGACACAGGGCUGCUCUUCCUCUGGGUUUAGGGGAAGGAAUUCUGUAAUUCUGUCCCAAAUAUAAACUGUAACGAGAUGCCGCGCAAACUACAAAAUAAUUGUCUCCGUAAUCUGUACCAAGCACAGAGUGUCCUCCGAGGCCGCACCUGGGAUUCAGGCUGGAACCUCUAACACUGGUUUCUGGGUGCCGGGGCAGUACAACUGCAUUAGACACAUGCAGGGAACAUGCAAGUUUCAAUGCAAGUUCUGCCCCUCCCCGUGAGAGCCAAUGGCACGCGGGCCCUGGGAAGCCACAUUUUUGUGAGGACAGAUGGCUCCAACCCCACCUUGACCACCCCUCCAAGAGAGCAGCUGCUGUGAAGGGUGGUCCCGAGGGGUGAGAAACAGACACAAAGCUUGCAGUGUCCAGGUGGAGAAGCAGGCUGCCUCUGCUAACUUCUUCCCUCUGUGCAUUAGUCACAGUUAAGACCAGCCUAGCACCAUGGUCCCGCUGCUGCCAGGUUAGUUGAGGUGAAGCGGACAGGUGAUAUGCGGCAGGUUAGCUGCAGCGUGUACCCUUGCGGCCCUAAUCGCAGUAAACGUUAUAUUUCUCGCCACAGAGCACCUGGGCAGCAAGCCCAGCACCCUCAGCCCUGUCACUAGCACAGGCGCAGGUGUGACUUACGCUCGGGGUACCAGGCUUGGUCUUGGGGGUGGCCUUGGCGCGGCUUCGCCGGGUCUGCUCAUGGUCCAGCUCAAGCAGCUCCAGCCGCUGGGUCAGCGCCAGCUUCUGCUGGAUGGCCAUGCGCAGCAGCGAGUUGAGUGUCUUCUUCUCGUCCUCAGCAGCUGCCAGCUGCCGCUGCAUCUCAUCCAACUGUGUGAUGUACUCGUCACACCUGCGGGGACGCAAGAGGCAAGAGCGUGGCUGAAGGACCUGGGAGAGCCAGCGGCGUGUGUGAUCAUGGCUCCCGUACUGAGGGCUCCAGAAGUAGCAGGAACAGCACGGACAGGAGGCCAGGGAGGGUGAGAAACCCCCCGCCCACGUGCCCGCCCCUGAUGGACCCGAGCGCCGUGCACACCUGCUUGUUGGCCUUGAGCACCGUGCGCAGCGUGGUGAUCUGCUCCCGCUUGGUGCUGAGCAGCGACUUCAGCUUCAGGAUCUCCUCCAUGAGUGCCUCCCGGUCCUUGUCCGCAGCUGGGCCCAGCUCCUGUGAGGCCAGGCGCUGCCGCGACAGCUCUGUGGUGCGGUCCACAGCUGCCUGCAGGUGCCUGAUCUGGUCACGGAUAAUGGCGAUCAGGUUGUAGAUGUUCAUGGGCUCCCGGCGUGGGUCACUCAGGGGCGAGGGCAGUGAGGAGCCAGGUGAGGGGCUGCUGUCCCUGGCCCUACCCUCUGAGGCAGGCGGCCCCUUGGGCAGGACAGGUGAGCGACGCCCACGGGUCUCAGGGCUGCAGCUGCCGGCGCCAGCCGGGCCCUCUCGGUAGUAGUCCAGCACCACACGGGUGGGCGUCUCGUUGUUGCACAUGCACACGUGGUGGUAGAGGUUGGCCAGCUCCUCACUGAAGGUCACCAGCUCGUCCUGGGCCACGCUCAGGCUGCCUUGUGUCUCGCCUGCGACGUCGCUCACCUUCUUGAGCUCCAUCUGCAGCCGGGACAGGAGCUCGCGGUCCUGGCGGCUGGCCUUCUCCAACAGGGAGACCUUCUCAGUGAGCGCCUGGCUUUCGGCCUCAUGCUGGCCCUUCUCCUCGGUGUGCUGGGCCUCGCUGGCCUCGUGUGCACUGCGCAGCGCCUUCAGCUGCUCCCGAAGCUCACCAGCCUCUGCCAGGGCCACACGGUACUUGCAGGCCAGGAUCUCAGGCCCAUUGAUGUCCACCUCAUAGUAGUCACCAUCCUCAUGGCUGUCUCGCUCCUUCUCACUGUCCAGGGCUGUCCGCCGCUCCUUGCUGGCCUGCAGGCGCCGCAGAGCACUCAGGUUCUCUGUGAGGCGGCUCACCUCCUCGUGCUGCUCCGACAGGGCCCCUCGGGCCUGCUCCAGCUGCUUCUGUGUGUCCUGCAGCGUUGCCAGCAGGCCCACCUUCUCCCGCUCCAUCUGCGAAGGCACAGAAAAGGCCCGUCAACAGCCCACAGGAGUACUUGCGCUCAGAAGACCCCUGGACAGUCCCAGGAGUGACCCCAUCCAUGCCAUGACCAUCACCCUGCUAGCCUCUCUGUGAUAAAUUCGGGUGGAGGUGUCAUGUGUGGGGCGCUAUGAUGGCUCUUCCCCCUGCCCAGAUGCUUGCGGGGCUUGGUGAGUCCCUCCUCAGAGACAUGCAGUGAACCAAGGGGCUGUGGUGCAGACCCUGGGAUUCUGUUCAGUCGGGGCAGGAAACCCUGACGUGACGUGUCUACAGGACACAGCAUGGGAAACUACACACAGGGACCUCAGAGCGACAUAAGAAAACCUCUGGUGGUGCCCAAACUUGUAACCAGAAACCUAAUUCUCUGGGCACCUUCCACCUAUAAUGCUGCAAUUCCACUUAGGUUAACAAUACAGAAUUACCUAUGUAAAAGAAACGUAAGUAAAAGAAGGUGCAUAGCAUUGACAAAGUGUCAGGAAAGCGCUGUCCUGGUGACGAGCAGGUCUGGCCAACACCAUGGGGGACAGGAGUGGAGGUGGGAAUGGUGCACGUGGGCCCAAGGCCCGGGGCUGUGACAAGACCUGGGUGGGGUGGGGCUACCCACCCGCUCACCUGCAUUAGCUGCUGCUUAAGCUUCUGGAUCUCAGAGAUGUUGAGCUCACUGAGGAGGUCAGAAACGAGGCUGGGUGAAGGUGGAGCAAGGCCGUCCUUGGUGGGCGUGGAGGUCUUGUUGUCCAGCGGCAGCUUGGCCAGGCCACCGUGCUCAAAGCCAUUGGCCAGGGCUUCGGCAUCAUCACCGAGCUUAAGGCCGUCCAGGGAGACGUGCAGGUGGCUGGUGUAGAGGGAGUCAUUGAUGCUCAUGUAGUGCGACAGCUCCUUGCGCAGACUGUUCUUCUGCUCCCGCUCUGUCUUCAGCGUCUCCAGCGCCUCCUCCAGCUGCCGCUCCGAGAUCUCCUUGAGCCGAAUGGCGUCCUCCAGCUGGCUGUUGAGAUAUUCGGUCUCCUCCUCCAGACGCUUGAUCUCAUGCUUGAGACCCUCAAACUCCACCUGUGAAAGAGGUCAACACUCUUCUAUGCCUGAGGAAUGGGGAAGAAGCACCAUUGUGCUGACUACACAGCUGGGAAGACACGGAUGCUUAGAGAGUUACAGGCAUGAGGUGCACACAGGAAAUGGUCAGCCCACACCUGGGACACACGUGCACGUGGUAUGAACAGUGCAGAAGCAUGAGACUUGCUCAUCACCAGAGAUGCCACGGAAAUCAGAACACAUCCACACUGCCAAUUUGUCAGGUGACUUAAAGUGUUGCCAAGUGAAAGUGAGGGUUAGGCCAGGGCCGUGGCCCAGAGCCAACCUACCUGUCCCACCUGCCCAGCCCAGAUACUUGCCUGGUUCUGCCUGAGCACAGACACCUGCUUUUGCAGACUGAUGUUCUCCUCCUCCAACUCCGAGUAGUCCUGCAGCAGGCGGGCCUCCCGGAACUUGUACUCCUUGAUGUCAUCCCGCAGGCGGCCACGCUGAAUCUCUACAUUUUGGUUGAUCUGCCAGGAGGAAGGCAGGUGUGAGCAGCCUGCCCUAGCUGGUCUCACCACCCCUUGGGCAGAAGGAGCUCAGUGCAGCCAGGCCCACCAUAGUGGUCAUACAGCUGGGACUUGGAAUCCCAGGCCUGCUCUGGUGCCCGAUGUGGCCACCUGGCGAGGAGCUGGGGCCCUGGGCUGUGAGGUAUUGCAGUGAACAAUGCAGGAUCUCAGCCUGCUCUGACCCUUGGUUUCUUCAUCUGUAAAAUGGGGUUCAGAGUAGUUCCUCGGUCACAUGCUGCUGGUAGCAUGUACAAUGGUGCAGUGCUGUGGAAACAGUCUGCAGCUACUCGAACAGUUCAGCACAGAGUUAACAUCUGACCCAUCAAUGCCCCUCCUCGGCAUGCACUCGAGAGAAAGGAAAACACACGUCCAUCAAAAUCUUGUGCACAAAUGUUCAGACACUAUUCACAAUAGCAAAGGUGGAAACAACUCAAAUGUCCCCCAACUGGUGAGAUAACAUGCUGUAACACAAAUAAAUCUUGAAAACAACAUGAGUAAAAGAAGAGGUGUUAGUGGUCAUGUAUUGUAUUGUAAGAUUCCACUUACAUGAAAUGUCCAGAAUAGGCAAAUCCACAGAGAUAGAAAGCAGAUGGGUGGUCGCUGGGGGGCAAGGAGAAGAUGGGAUGGAGAGUGACUGCUAACGGGGUUUCUUCUUGGAAUGAUGUAAUAUUCUAGAAUUGAUUUGGGAUGGUGCAUAAAUCUGUAACUAUAUUAAAAUCCACUGACUGUACACUUUAAGUGGGUGAGUUGUAAGGGCUAUGAAUUAUCUCAAUAAAGUUGUUAAAAAAGGAGUUCCUGCCUCCGAGGUGCCUUGAGGAUUCAGAUAUCAUGCACGGAGAGAGGCCAGUGCAGACCUGUCAUUAACUGUGCACUCAAGACUGGUGGGAAUUCUCAACCGGCUGCUAC